GGUCAGGUAUGAAUAUGCGUGGAUAUAGGUUUGUAGGCGAGGGUGGGUAUGUAUGGGUGAAGGUGUGCAUGUAUAUGCAGGAUUGUAGAAGGGGGUAGGUGAGGGUGGGUAGGGCAGAGGUGUCUCUGUGUGCGUGCAUGUGUGUGGGACUAUAGAUAAAGGUUGGUAUGGGCGUGUGAGGGUAAGGCUCAGUGUGGGAAUGCAGAAGUAUAAGAAGAAUGAGUACUGAGGGCAGGUUGUACACGUGAAUGUGGGUGGAUACCAGAUUGUAGGUGAUGGUGGAUGCAAGUAGGGCAAGAGGGAAAGGGUGUGUGUGUGUGUGUGUGUGUGUGUGUGUGUGCGUGUGUGUGUGUUUUGGGUUAUAAGUGAGAGGGUGGUGGGGCAAAGCACAGAGUAGGCCAAUGACAGGAUUAUUCUAUCAAAAACAUUCUCCAUUUUACUGAUUUAUAU
rnacentral:lncRNA from 10 species